AACUUUUUUAUACGCUUUAGGUUCCAUAUGCAUCCGGACGGGCACCGCCUCUGAUAUUCAACCGCUAUGUCUUCAUCUUAUUCAGCUCUACAUACUUCUGUAGAAGACAGAUACCGCAACUCUUUCUGGGGACAUGAACUGAAAUGAAUAACCAUGUGCCCUGCCAGGUGGUCAACUCUGGUGAGAGUAGUGAAUGGAAAAGAUGGGCAGAUCAGCUGAUUGACAAUGGUUCAGAGCCGAACUUCUUGGUGAUCCAAAUUCACAGCCUUUGCAACAUAUACUGACACCAUCUUUAGACGUACCACGGCAAGAGGUAAGUAACAACUAACCAGCAGCAGCAUCAAUCAGGUGGUUUCGUUGGAGGCCCCUGCAACACUAAUGUGUUUGGAUCCAUAUGUCAGUCUUACCCAAGAGCUAGUUGUGAGUUUGGUUCAGCUAUACCUAUAAAGGCUAUAGCAAAUUAUCCAUAAAUCGCCAGCUAUCAUUUGAAAAAGAAACUUUAGGUUUUAGUUGUGACGUGAGGAAUACAUUAACCGAAAUGAUCAUGAUGAUGUAUCAUGUUAUUGAUGAUGAUGAUGAUAAUG